rnacentral:tRNA from 1 species
GUUUUAAUAAUUUAAACUAAAAUAUUGGUCUUGUAAACCAGAAAUAAGCAAAGCCUUUUAAAACU